GCUUUCCACUGUUCUAGUCCUUGCCUCUUCAUUACCCCGCUCGUCAUGACUGUUACUUUGUAAAUUAAUCCUCUCAGUAGUGCGUUCAUCGUCGUCCUCAUCGCCAACUUUGUGAAAUACAACUUUAAUGUCCCCCUGUCUAAGGGGAACGGCCGAUAGAACUCUGUCGUCUAUACUAUUACUGUCCUUCAAAUCCCCCAUUGUAAAAUGCAACUGCAACAGGAUGAAGAUGUAACAUAUUAAAUAAAUCACGAUAUUUAUGAGGAAGAAAAAGGCUACAGACAGACCAUGCCUUCCAACUGAUCCUCAACCUCCGCUGCAUAGGUGAUAGACUGUCUUGAGCUUGGUGCCGACCUGACUGGAGAUUUGGGAGAGAACUGGGAGUACGUCUCAAGGACAAAGUCACUAUCUCUGUCGGCUGGGAAGUGAGACAGACAGUGUGUGCGUAGCAGGACAUGUGUAUGCGUAUGUUUGUGUGUAUGUGUGGGCAUGAGAAGUCAGUAUAAAAUGAAUUGAUUUGUAUUCUUGACUUCAGAACGUUCCCGUGAAUAAACAUUUAACUUUGGUAGACUGGGCCUCGGUCUGUUUUCGUUUCUAUCAGUAUCUUACAAAUCCUGAUAAAACAGACUGAGGGUAACAUAAUUGAAUUGGUAAAUUAAUAGGAGUAUAGAAUUCUCCUGACAAUAGGCUACAUGUAGGCGGUGACAUUGCAAACAUGAAUGACGUUCAGCUCAAAAUGCUGGUGGAAAACAUCGUUUAUUUGUGAAUAUUGCGUUUUAAAAAAAUGCAUCACCGUUUACGGCUGUAAUGACAGGCAACAUUCGCGCAGCGAUUGUGCGCGCUUGUUCGACCUGUGUGCGUGCGCGUGCUUGUACGUGAUCAAACAAUUUUUGGAACUGCAUGUAUGGCAAUCCUCUCCCUACAAUUUGACGCAAAUCAGCAAUAUGUUCGCUCGUUCAUAGGUUCACAAAGUCUUUGAUCCGCAACCUCUAAAAAUGAGUGUUUCAAAGCUUGCGGGUCAAAAAGUUUGAGAACCUAUGAUUUGCUGUAAACUAUAGGAUCGGGUGCGUUGGAUUGUCAUAUGCAGCUCCAAAAUUGUUCGGUGAUCAAAAAUAUUAGGCUAACUGUUUACUUUGCAAUCUCACCCGCAAUGUGGCAUCAAGCAACAAUUACUAGCAUAGGCCUACGGAUCUUUUGGUAAGUCAAUAUAGCUUGAAAUGCAUAAUUUACUUUUGAAGCUUGCAUUUGGAAUUUGUUGUUAAAAUGAAUUAUUACAUCAUCAAAAUGUGUUGCUGACAAAAUAAUGAAAAAUGCUGUCUGGUAGCCUCAAUUGACAAAUAUUUGUAUUUGAACAAGUCAUUGCAUGUAUAGAUAUUUUUUUUUAAAUCUUGAUUUGAAACUUGACUUAAUAAAAAACGUGUGACUAAGAAUGCACGUCUUGGAUUUGA